GGUAUGAGCUUUCGUGUGCAUGCACACUUCUUCAGAUACAAAGAAGUAUCUGAAGAAGUGUACAUGCACAUGAAAGCUCAUACC